ACCAAUUCAGCUGCUUACUGUCAUUUUUUUCCAUAUUCUCAGUCAUGGCUCUUUGCCCCCAAAGCAUCUCCUUGCUCACAUCACCUCCAGCAGAGAAACAGGCUGUGAAGAUGGGCAAAGUGAAUGAAGGCAGAAACAUUUCUGCAGUCUUUAUUCCUGGUGACACUGGCUGAGUCUGAAAGCACACAGCUGGACGUCAACAGCCCGGGCAGAGUUUGAAGAAGUGGUACUGUGAAAGGAGGGGUGGAUUGGUGGAUGUGUUCUUCCUGUAAACUGAAAACUGAAAGUGCCUGACCACAGACAGCCAGAAGAAAUAAAUCCAGAACUCUCCAGGACAAAUUUUAUGGUUGCUUUUGACAAAAGAAAUUCUUUCAACCUGGCAAUGAAGUCAUUAACUUCCCAGCAUUGAUUCUGAAAUUCUCCUCUCUUUUUUAUCUAUGUUAAACACUAAUUAAACCCACUUAUUGCAAAAACAGCCUCAGGUUCAUAGUGCUAUUUAUUAAACUCCUUAAUGAGAUGAGAGGGAAAAAUAGUUUUAUGCUAUAUCAAUUUUUAAUUAACACUGUCAGUUAUGUGCAGUCAGCCUUGCCAGAGCGAUGCAAAGAGUGAAAAAGAGGGCAAGAAAUCUCACAAAAAAAAGGGACUCAGGGAUUUCCCCACCAAAUGUCAUGUGCAAAACCAUGCACAGGUGAAAGAACUGUGUUAUUAGAAAAAAAAACAAGUUUCAUGUAAAAGUCAAAGUCAUCCCUGGAUGCAAAGUAUAUAUAAGCCUUAUAAAGUAUAUAUAAACCUUAGGGUUUUCUGUAAGUAUGAUAGAAUCAUAGAAUAUCUUGAGUUGGAAGAGACUCACAACGAUCAUUAAGUCCAACUGUUGGAAGACAUCAAGGGAGCUUGUGAACAAGUCUCCUGCAGCAGCAAAGUGCUUGAUUAUUAAAUAUUUUAUUCUCUGCUGAGACAUUGUCCACAUAUAAACAUUGUAUGGGCUCUCCAAAGUGUUAAGCAUUAAAAUGUCCGUCUGUCUUUCAUCACUUAUUUACAAGAGAUUUGAAUUUCUCAUGGUAAGAGACAACAGUGAGCAUCUGCACCUUUAUCUGAGCACAGUGUAUGCUUUUGAUAGCACCACAAAGCUUCUUCCAUAGCUGUACAAUUUCUGAUUUAAAAAAAGAAAUAAAUAAAGCAAGACCGAAGGCCAACAGGCACCUGACAGUGGGAUGUGAGGUAGUGCAUGGAACCGUUUGGAUCAGUCGCCUCACCCCUGUGACAACCGAAACUCUUGGAGGUCAUUGGUGUCUGCCUACAGGCCCAGCAUGGAUGUGCGCAGACCACAUUUUAGUGGCACAGGGAAACUCCAGGCUGCAACUGCGAGAACUCUCCAGGUACCCAGCCUCCAAGCGUGGAACAUCAGCCUUCCUGGCAGCUGGGAAAGGGCAGUGGUAGGGGCACCAAAAUUUUGCCCUAGUCACUGAUCAUUCACAAGUUAGUAAUGCCUUUGUACAGAUCUAUGUACAUUCAUCUCAAUUGCUCAUAUAUCGUUGUUUCUGUGAGUACAUUUAGUCAGGUGACUGCAGGUGAGGUAAGCACAUAUUUACUGACACAGGUUGGAAAACAUUUCCUUUGGAGGCUGUAGUAUUCCUUUCAGUGUGUUACAGUGACCCGGAAGAUGCUGUCAGUGGAGAUAAGAGAGUGGCAUGAUGGCUGCAAGAGACAAGGGUCAAGAAAGUGUGCUCCCUGUGUUGUGGUUUUCUGCUGGCCAGAAAAGAUGUUUUUUCAUCAUAACUAAUUCUGAAAUCCUCUGGAAGACAUUCUCUUACAGGAACUGUGAAGUUAAAAAAAAGAAAGAAGAAGAGUUUUUAUGGAAACAAAUCACACCCAGACCUAUAGUCAAUGUAUGUGGGC